rnacentral:rRNA from 1 species
GGUCCUAAGGUAGCGAAAUUCCUUGUCGGGUAAGUUCCGACCUGCACGAAUGGCGUAAUGAUGGCCAGGCUGUCUCCACCCGAGACUCAGUGAAAUUGAACUCGCUGUGAAGAUGCAGUGUACCCGCGGCAAGACGGAAAGACCCCGUGAACCUUUACUAUAGCUUGACACUGAACAUUGAGCCUUGAUGUGUAGGAUAGGUGGGAGGCUUUGAAGCGUGGACGCCAGUCUGCGUGGAGCCAACCUUGAAAUACCACCCUUUAAUGUUUGAUGUUCUAACGUUGGCCCCUUACCGGGGUUGCGGACAGUGUCUGGUGGGUAGUUUGACUGGGGCGGUCUCCUCCCAAAGCGUAACGGAGGAGCACGAAGGUUAGCUAAUCCUGGUCGGACAUCAGGAGGUUAGUGCAAUGGCAUAAGCUAGCUUGACUGCGAGCGUGACGGCGCGAGCAGGUGCGAAAGCAGGUCAUAGUGAUCCGGUGGUUCUGAAUGGAAGGGCCAUCGCUCAACGGAUAAAAGGUACUCCGGGGAUAACAGGCUGAUACCGCCCAAGAGUUCAUAUCGACGGCGGUGUUUGGCACCUCGAUGUCGGCUCAUCACAUCCUGGGGCUGAAGUAGGUCCCAAGGGUAUGGCUGUUCGCCAUUUAAAGUGGUACGCGAGCUGGGUUUAGAACGUCGUGAGACAGUUCGGUCCCUAUCUGCCGUGGGCGCUGGAGAAUUGAGGGGGGCUGCUCCUAGUACGAGAGGACCGGAGUGGACGCAUCACUGGUGUUCGGGUUGUCAUGCCAAUGGCACUGCCCGGUAGCUAAAUGCGGAAGAGAUAAGUGCUGAAAGCAUCUAAGCACGAAACUUGCCCCGAGAUGAGUUCUCCCUGAGACUUUAAGUCUCCUGAAGGAACGUUGAAGACGACGACGUUGAUAGGCCGGGUGUGUAAGCGCAGCGAUGCGUUGAGCUAACCGGUACUAAUGAACCGUGAGGCUUAACCUUACAACGCCGAAG